rnacentral:rRNA from 1 species
ACGCUCGACACCUACGGGAGGGAGCAGUGGGGGAUAUUGCACAAUGGGCGCAAGCCUGAUGCAGCGACGCCGCGUGAGGGAAGACGGUCUUCGGAUUGUAAACCUCUGUCUUCGGGGACGAUAAUGACGGUACCCGAGGAGGAAGCCACGGCUAACUACGUGCAGCAGCCGCGGUAAUCUGAGCGGGCUGGCAAGGC